UCCAAAAUUUCUGACUCCGGACA
rnacentral:miRNA from 10 species